rnacentral:lncRNA from 1 species
CAAUCCUGUGUCCCUGUACCCAGGAGGACUUUGAUUUGGCCUGGACCAGCUCCUCCUGGGACAGCAUAGCCCCUUCUUCUCCAAGGCUCCUAGUGGUCACCUUGGACUUCACCCUGGACUCAGUGUGCAGCCCUUCCUGCCAGCCCAGAUUCUGAGCUGCCUGCAUGAAUCUGGAGUCUGGGAACAGAGCCCCCCCGCCACCCUGCUUGCUCAGGAACAUACCGCCCUGGUGCUUCUACCAGCACCGCUCAGGGUGCCUGGGCCAUGGCUGUCCAGAC